rnacentral:rRNA from 1 species
GAUGAACGCUGGCGGCGUGCCUAACACAUGCAAGUCGAGCGAGAAUUCUUUACUUGAUCCUUCGGGUGAUUUUAAAGAAGGAAAGCGGCGGACGGGUGAGUAACGCGUAGGCAACCUGCCCUUUGCAGAGGGAUAGCCUCGGGAAACCGGGAUUAAAACCUCAUAAUGCGACUGAAAGACAUCUUCCGGUCGCCAAAGAUUUAUCGCUGAUAGAUGGCCUCGCGUCUGAUUAGAUAGUUGGUGAGGUAACGGCUCACCAAGUCGACGAUCAGUAGCCGGACUGAGAGGUUGAACGGCCACAUUGGGACUGAGACACGGCCCAAACUCCUACGGGAGGCAGCAGUGGGGAAUAUUGCACAAUGGGGGAAACCCUGAUGCAGCGACGCCGCGUGAGCGAUGAAGUAUUUCGGUAUGUAAAGCUCUAUCAGCAGGGAAGAAAAUGACGGUACCUGACUAAGAAGCACCGGCUAAAUACGUG